CCUCAAGCCAGAGGCCAAGAGAGAAGAAUAGAGCUUUCUUCACCGAGCAAGGCUGAGUAAUGCCAUAGUCUCACCUUCCCUGGGGCUCAGUGUGCCACUGUAGCCCAGCCAACUCUGGUCUUUUCUGGGAGUCGUCCAGCCCCAGCCUCCUGCUUACAUGACCUGAGUGCGCUAUCCUUGCCAGACUUUGAAACUUCUAUCCAUGAAGCAUUUAAACUACACAGGCAAUGCCGAAACCCAUUCUUCCUUCCUGGCUUCUCUGGUUUGAUUAGAGAUUCCCUGAGAGCGUGGACUACUCACCUCAGUGCCUUGCAUGGAGCACCAUACAUAAUUAAUUAAUGCCUAAUACAUAUUUGAACAAGUGAAUCAACAAGGACAAC
ensembl:lncRNA